rnacentral:lncRNA from 1 species
GUGAGUUCGAGUUAUUUAAUUUGUAAUGGACUAUUUUGUGGGUUGUUUCGUGUAGCUUUUGGGCUGUAUAUUUUGCUGAUAUUUAAUGAAGUUUUUGGAGGAUAAAUGGUGCGUAGAAUAACCAAAUAAUGGAAAAAUUAUGGAUUAGUCAUUCUUUGUAAUAUUUUCGGGGUGUUGGACACUACUAUAGUUGUUGUUUUUGGUAUGAAUUGAUUGGGGUGUAUUGGGUUGUUGUAAGCUAAAUAUAAUAUGUAUUUCAACUUGUAUCCACUGUAGGAUGUAAUUAUCUUGUAUUCCUAUAGGCGCUUAAGGUUAUCUUGGCAUUGGUUAAAUUAAAUGGAUGAACUAGACUUGAACUAGUGAAUAAAGUUGCUAAUUAAGAAUAAUUUGAGUUGUAGAUCAUUUUCUUUGUUAUGGAUAUAUGGUAUAAGGCUGAAAUUAUUGAUUAAUGACUUCAUUAUCAUGUUAAUGAUACUAUUAAGUUAAAUUAAAAAGUCUAUAAGGGAUGAUAUGGGGUAUACGAAUUCCAAUUGGAGCUUGUCGCUCGUCGUAAAAUAAUUAGGACUUGUUGUAGUUUUAUAGUGUCUUGUUAUUGAUAAUUAUUUAUUGCUGAAUUUCUCUGGUAAUUGUUUUUGGUAUAUGGUAUUGGAGGAGUCUCUUGUUAUAGGGGAGAUGCGGCCCGAAUUUAUAUAAACGAGCUACAAGUUUAAGUUGCAGACUUAGCCUUUAUUCAACACUGAUUUUGAAACUCCUUAUGCAAUGGUAGAUUGAGUUGAGUAGUUUGAAGAGUUUAUUGGGAGGUAUUAAGGACUCACCAUGGUUAAGGUAUGUUAAGGCACUUUUUUAUUUCUUUUGGCAUGAUCUAAAAUGAAACGAACAUAAACGAUAUGCUAUUUCAUAGCGGAUCUACUCCUAGCAACUAAGAUUGUCCAUAUUGUUCUUUCCUUAUAAAGUUAUUCUAAGCAAGUGUGUAUGAUCCUUGAAUCUUACUGAGGUUCAUAUUGAGGGUAUGGAUUUCUAUAAUGUUAAUCUAAGGUGCAACGACCUUAAGUCACUCCGAAAGGUAUAGAACGUGAUUCCAUGAGUGUAGCAUGCAUUAUAUAUAGUAUCUAUUUUACUCUACUGAGCCGCGCUAUAGUCGGCCGGGUACGACACCUAUUGUGCAACCACUGAUCAGUUGGGUUUACCGAGCUCCACAUGGCCGGGUACGAUCUACCGAGCCUUAUGAUGGCCGGGUACAUUUUUACCGAGUCCUCUUUGAGGCUGGGUAUGAUAUGAUAUGAUGAUGCCCAUAGAGGCGUAUCUUUUUAAAAGUGUAUGUAUAUAUAUGUAUAAUGCAUUUCAUGUCAGUAGCCCCCAGAGGAACGUAGAUGUUACAGGUUGUAUCUCCUCUAUCUCUCUUUACAUUACGGUUCUUGUUUAUGCUUUUCUGCCUUACAUACUUGGUACAUCAUGCCUGGGGAUGCUGUAUUUCAUGCCCGCAGGUCCCAUUUGAUAGGUUUACAUUCCUCCUAGUAGGUUAUUAGCUCAGCGGAGGUGUUGGUGCACUCCACUUGCUACGGAGUUUCCUAUUUGGUCAGUAUGCUUUGGAUAUGUAUUGAUUGGUAUGGCGUGGCUCUGUCCCAACCUUUAUGAUUUUAUGUACUCUUAGAGGCUUGUAGACAAAUGUCAGGUUUAUGGAUACUUGUAUGGCCUUGUCGGCCUAUGUUUUAUCAUAAAUGGUCAUGUCGGACUUAUAGGCCCGUAUGUCACAUGUAUAAGUUUGUAUAUCAUGUUGGGUCAUCAUAUGUUGAAUAUUCCC